rnacentral:rRNA from 1 species
UACGUAGGGUGCAAGCGUUAAUCGGAAUUACUGGGCGUAAAGCGUGCGCAGGCGGUUGUGCAAGACCGAUGUGAAAUCCCCGGGCUUAACUUGGGAAUGGCAUUGGUGACUGCACGGCUAGAGUGUGUCAGAGGGGGGUAGAAUUCCACGUGUAGCAGUGAAAUGCGUAGAGAUGUGGAGGAAUACCGAUGGCGAAGGCAGCCCCCUGGGAUAACACUGACGCUCAUGCACGAAAGCGUGGGGAGCAAACAGG